UACGAAGGGGGCUAGCGUUGUUCGGAUUUACUGGGCGUAAAGCGCACGUAGGCGGCUUCUUAAGUCAGGGGUGAAAUCCUGGAGCUCAACUCCAGAACUGCCUUUGAUACUGAGAGGCUCGAGUCCGGGAGAGGUGAGUGGAACUCCGAGUGUAGAGGUGAAAUUCGUAGAUAUUCGGAAGAACACCAGUGGCGAAGGCGGCUCACUGGCCCGGUACUGACGCUGAGGUGCGAAAGCGUGGGGAGCAAACAGG
rnacentral:rRNA from 1 species